AACGAACGCUGGCGGCAUGCCUAACACAUGCAAGUCGAACGAGACCUUCGGGACUAGUGGCGCACGGGUGCGUAACGCGUGGGAACCUGCCCUUAGGUUCGGAAUAACUCCCCGAAAGGGGUGCUUAUACCGGAUAAUGUCUUCGGCCCAAAGACUUAUCGCCUUUGGAUGGUCCCUCGUUGGAUUGGCUAGUUGGUAGGGUAAAAGCUUACCACGGCGACGAUUCAUAGCUGGUCUGAGAGGAUGAUCACCCACACUGGGACUGAGACACGGCCCAGACUCCUACGGGAGGCAGCAGUGGGGAAUAUUGGACAGUGGGCGAAAGCCUGAUCCAGCAAUGCCGCGUGAGUGAUGAAGGCCUUAGAGUUGUAAAGCUCUUUUACCCGGGAUGAUAAUGACAGUACCGGGAGAAUAAGCUCCGGCUAACUCCGUG
rnacentral:rRNA from 1 species